GACCUGGUGGUAUAGUGGUAACAUGUCUGUUCUCUAUGUUGUACGACUUUCUGCAUAUAUAAACCAGGCCUUCCUUGUUCGAAUCAAGGCUAGGUCA